GGAGAGGUCGGGUUGAAACAUUACUGAUGUUUCACGUUAAAAAUGGCUCUAAAGAUUGAUGCUAAACAACGUUUGACAUGUUUGAACAAUGUAAAUAGAUUAUUUUUUUUACUUUUCGCCGUGACUCCCCCCGCGCUACUUUUUAGUAGCCUACCGAGCGCUAACAACUUGGAGUUAUUGGGACAUCAAUUAUGAACUUUGUUGAAAGAAACCACAUUUGCAGUGGACCUGGGAUGCGUGGAAUUGCCAAUAGAUGAAGAGAAUCAAAGCCCUAGGACCAUGCCUCAGGACUACCUGGCUUGAUGACUCCUUGCUGUCCCCAGUUCACCUGGCCGUGCUGCUGCUCCAGUUCCAACUGUUCUGCCUGCAGCUAUGGAACCCUGACCUGUUCACCGGACGUGCUACCUGUCCCAGACCUGUUGUCCCAGACCUGCUGGAAACCCGACCUAUUCACCGGAUGUGCUACAUGUCCCAGACCUGCUGUUUUCAACUCUCUAGAGACAGCAGGAGUGGUAGAGAUACUCUCAAAGAUCGGCUAUGAAAAAGCCAACUGACACUUACUCUUGUGUUACUGACUUGUUGCACCCUCGACAACUACUAUGAUUAUUAUUAUUUGACAAUGCUGGUCAUUUAUGAACAUUUGAACAUCUAGGCCAUGUGCUGUUAUAAUCUCCACCCGGCACAGCCAGAAGAGGACUGGUUCCUCUCUAGGUUUCUUCCUAGGUUUGGCCUUUCUAGGGAGUUUUUCCUAGCCACCGUGCUUCUACACCUGCAUUGCUUGCUGUUUGGGGUUUUAGGCUGGGUUUCUGUACAGCACUUUGUGAUAUCAGCUGAUGUAAGAAGGGCUAUAUAAAUACAUUUGAUUUUAUUUAUUUGAUUUGGUGUCUCCACGUGGCCACACACCUCUCCAAAGUGUGCGCAGUUCCUAAGUAAAUUCAUUGCACUUUUAUUACUCAAAGAAGGUGUUUUUUUGAGCUCUCCUAGCUGUGCCGUUGAGGGACUAGAGAAAGCACACUUGUAGUUGGUGUUUACGCAAUAAAAAAAUGACCCAUUAUAAAUCGCAAUCUGGGUCAGGUGGGCAUCAUUUGAAAUAGAAACCAAUCUCAGUAGAAAGGAGUCAUGCGUACAUUCAGGUGCACGUUCCGCAACAAAUUAUCUUCACAAUAGACAAACAUAGGCUCAUUCUGUUCAGAACAACCCAGGGUGUGAGUCCAUGUCAUCUUGUAACUCUACAUUUGCAUUUUCGUCAUUUUGCAGACGUUGUUAUCCAGAGCAAUUUACAUGAGCAAUUAGGAUUAAGUGCGUUGGCUGGGUGGUUACUCAAAAACUGUCAUUGUUUUGCUGAGAUUGAAGAGAGUUGACAAAGUGUAGGGUGUUGACGAGUUUGUGUAUACUCUUUACUAUACUAUCAAUCUGUGAACCCCUUUGAAUAAAAUGGCUGGCGUGAAGAUGAAUGUUUAAAGGAAGGGCUGGUACUUGGCUUUGGCUUGAGACAGAGCAUGUCUUAAAGAAUAGCCAUUUAUAAAAUAGGGCAGGGACCCUUGGGAAGUACUGUGUGUUAUUUUGGGAGAAUACAUCCAAAUGGGAGUGCUACUGGUACAGCAAGGGCAUGGAGAGACAGCUCUAAGUGUGAAAUUGGCACCUGGUAUACAUAGAAGACAUCUUUCUUUUGACAUGUAAUGGCCAACAUCUUGUUUACAGAGACCACAAAAGACAAAGACAACAAAAUACACACGUUGGUUAAUACAGUGUUAUUUGUUUCUUUUUUUGGUGACCAAAUGUUUAAUUAUUUGUCAUUUUUUAUUAGGGGGGGUUGUUACAGGUACAAUCUUAAAAUAUAUGUAUUUUCAUAUAUUCAGUCCAUAUCACAUUUUCAUGUAUUAUUUUCCAUAUAUAUAUAUUUCUGUUGUACCUUUGGCCUGCCACUCAGGAAAAAAAAGAAGAGAAUAUAUAUAUUCUAGGUCUGAUGGGGAUGGAUGCGUUUUCUCAAUUGGAUUUGCUCAACUGCUGCGUCCUCUCUAUUCUAUCUUUUCUUUGCUUCCUUUUGAAGAAGGUCAAAAGUCAUCAAGGAAAGGCGGUGAGGAGAGGGAACAUAGACAUAAUGCGCUUGUAUGCAAUGAGACUUCCUUCUCCACUCGAGCGUCAUCAGGUAUAUUACGUUUACAGCGGUGGUACCCAAAAUAAAUGUGUAAACUGAUCAAAUGAAUUAAGUUAGUUGUGCAAGACAUUUUAUAGAUAAAACCUAUAUGCUACUUAUCGUUUUAAAUGUGUGCAUGCUUUUCUCCUUCGACAAAACAAAAGCUAAUUCAAAUGGGGUGUGGCAGAUUUCAAAAUUCUUCCACAAAGGACUCAGGUAGGAUACACAUUACUAGCCUCGAUGAAAGGUGGCUAUCAAGUAGGGGAGGACACUGUUCCAUUCGUCUACCAACGAAUUGAAAUCGCCUCGACCACUUAUCGGUUUCCGUGUCACGGUGGAGAGAGGACAGAGGAGAGAGGACGGAGGACAGACUUUUGCCCAAAUGAGAAAAGGCCGGAGUCUGCCCUACCCCGCUUC
rnacentral:lncRNA from 1 species